rnacentral:lncRNA from 1 species
AUCACCAUGGUGACUUGCAAGUAACUCACUAUACUUUGGUGCUGGACUAUCUGAGUUUCUAAUUCAGUGAUAUAAAAUUUUUAGGUACAGUCAAGUACUUGUCAAGUUGGUAUGUGAGUCAAGAUGGGAUUGAUCCCUCCGAAUUAGUAGGAGUUAAUGUAUCAAUAUAUUUCAAUAUAGUAAAAUCUGAGCUCGGAUAAUCCAUGUGAUGAAUUUAA